rnacentral:rRNA from 1 species
GGGUGAGUAACACGUGGAUAACCUACCUAUAAGACUGGGAUAACUUCGGGAAACCGGAGCUAAUACCGGAUAAUAUAUUGAACCGCAUGGUUCAAUAGUGAAAGACGGUUUUGCUGUCACUUAUAGAUGGAUCCGCGCCGCAUUAGCUAGUUGGUAAGGUAACGGCUUACCAAGGCAACGAUGCGUAGCCGACCUGAGAGGGUGAUCGGCCACACUGGAACUGAGACACGGCCCAG